rnacentral:rRNA from 1 species
GACGAACCGUCCAAACGUUAUUCGGAAUCACUGGGCUUAAAGGGUGCGUAGGCGGUGCGGUAAGUUGGGUGUGAAAUCCCUGGGCUUAACCCAGGAAUGGCGCCCAAAACUGUCGCACUCGAGGGAGACAGAGGUAAGCGGAACUGAUGGUGGAGCGGUGAAAUGCGUUGAUAUCAUCAGGAACACCGGUGGCGAAAGCGGCUUACUGGGUCUUUUCUGACGCUGAGGCACGAAAGCUAGGGGAGCGAACGGG